rnacentral:rRNA from 1 species
AGUGAACGCUGGCGGUAGGCCUAACACAUGCAAGUCGAACGGCAGCACAGUAAGAGCUUGCUCUUACGGGUGGCGACUGGCGGACGGGUGACGCAUACAUCGGAAUCUACUUUUUCUUGGGGGAUAACGUAGGGAAACUUACGCUAAUACCGCAUACGUUCUACGGGUUAAUGCAAGGGAUCUUCGGGGCUUUCGCGAUUGUAUGAGCCGGUGUCGGAUUAGCUAGUUGGCGGGGUAAAGGCCCACCAAGGCGACGAUACGUAGCUGGUCUGAGAGGAUGAUCAGCCACACUGGAACUGAGACACGGUCCAGACUCCUACGGGAGGCAGCAGUAGGGAAUAUUGGACAAUGGGCGCAAGCCUGAUCCAGCCAUACCGCGUGAGUGAAGAAGGCCUUCGGGUCGUAAAGCCCUUUUAUUGGGAAAGAAAAGAAGCAGGUUAAUACCCCGCUGUUCUGACGGUACCCAAAGAAUAAGCACCGGCUAACUUCGUG